UAAUUGACAAAACAUAAUACACUUCAGAAUAUCAACAUUAUUCUUUCACAAAAACGUCAAAAAAAGCACACGAUGCGAAUAAAUUAUUAAGUAAAAUAACUUCUGAUGUUAUUAUGAGUGACAGGGAUGGAAAUAACUGGGUGCCUAUCGCAGCAGGCGUUGUCCUGGGAGCUGGACUGCUAACAUUGAUAUAUAAGAUGUUCUUCACCGGCUGCAGAGAAUCUCAGAAACAGCAAUACACCAACCAGCAGAUAGGAGUCCCUUUUCAGUGCACUUGCAAGAAAGGAGGCCCCGCUCCGUGUCAAAUACAUAAAGCAAAACGUUAAUACUUCUUCGAUUGAUGGUUGAAAAUCUCAUUCAAAAAUGUCAAAGCUGACAUUAUUUCAAAAUGGAAAACACGCAAUACUUUUAGAAUUUCAAAAUGAAUACAAUAGAUAAUGAGCUUUAAAUUAAUUAGUACUGGACUAAGCUAUGUGUGAUUGUGCUGAGGAAGAGAGGAGACGAAAAGCCAUCAGACAUAGUAAUGUUUCACCAAGUCCGCAACCCUCUCCCCCAGCCUGGAGCUUUCCUGAAGAUUCCAAUUGGCUUCGAGUCCUCGGCGGUUCCACUUUAGUACUAGCAUUUAUCGGAUUUAUGUACAAAAAGUUUGGUAGUUGGAUGUUUGGCAAAGGUUGCCAUCGGACACAAAAUCUUACAAAGAAACCUCAAAACGAGUUAAAGAAAAGUACCUGUCAGUGCUGAUUAUGCUUUAGUUCACAAAGCGGUUUGAAUUCAAGGUAUAUUAUAUGAUUUACACAUGCCUGAUUGCAUGAUUUUUUGAAAUUAAAUUUUAUGUUUUGGAA